AAGAACUUGUGAAUCUUCAGGCAGAAAAGAUGAAAACACCUGUUCAAAGUUCCAGUUUCCUGUACAUCAAACGAUGCCUGUCUGGGACUCUGUUCCACAUGUCUUCAGUCAGUCCUGGACCCUAUGACUAGGACACUAGUUCUACCAAGGCUUAAUAGAGAUAAUACAGCUGCACAAUUACAACAGGAACUAAUCUUUAGACAGUUAAUACAGAAGAUCUGCUAAAUUGGAGGAUUCCAAAGCUGAGCUGGAAGGGGAAGUCGCCACCUACAGGACAGCAAAUCUAAAAAUUAAUUUGGAUAAACUAUUAAACCAGGUAUUUUCACAAAAAGAACAAUCUGAGACACAGUGUGAGCCUGCACCCUGGACACCCACACACCCCAAUAAUCCCCCUUCAAAGAGCGAGCCACAUGGGAAGGCUACUGUACACAUUUUAUGUUUCAGAUUGUUGUCAUUCACUUGCAAGGGGAGAUUCCAGUGCGUCCAGAGGUCUGGGCAAAAAUAAAAAACAACACAAGGGACUCCAUGUUCGUGAAGGAGUUGGCUGUGGCGUUUUGGGGCACCGACACCUUAGGGGAAAGGAGCCUGACUGGAAAGGAAUGCCCCACCACCAAGACCACCAGGCCGCCUCUAACCCUGCAGAAGCUAUGGGGUUUGAAAGUUUGCUUCAAGCAUGGCUGUACGAGAAAGACGUGGAGGACCAAGAAAUGCUGGCCAGAUUGGCAAAGACCGGAAGAUACAUAACAGAGAAGAUAAUGGAUAUUAACAAGAAAAAGA